GACAGAGUCUCCCUCAAUGAUGAUCCUCUCUAUUCGUAACUUCUAUCGUGCACAAAUAAUGCCAGUCCAAAUGGCACAAAGCUCAGCUUCUUGGAUGGAAGGCUUAAAGAGAUGUGAGCCACCCGUCGUCAGUAAUCUGGUAUCUAAUUUUUGGAUGAUAAAGCUAGCACCACCCCUGCCAUCUUUGAUUCUAUCGUCGAAAUUUAUCUUGACAGACCCCAA
rnacentral:lncRNA from 1 species